GACGAACGCUGGCGGCGUGCUUAACACAUGCAAGUCGAACGAUGAAGCAGAGACACGCGCACUUCGGUUCAAAUUUCACUUCGGAUUAGUGGCAGACGGGUGAGUAACGCGUGAGCAACCUACCUCUUACAAAGGGAUAGCCUCGGGAAACCGUGAUUAAUACCAUAUGACACAUUCAUAAGGCAUCUUAAGAAUGUUAAAGCUACGGCGGUAAGAGAUGGGCUCGCGUCCCAUUAGCUAGUUGGUGAGGUAACGGCCCACCAAGGCGACGAUGGGUAACCGGCCUGAGAGGGUGAACGGUCACAUUGGAACUGAGACACGGUCCAAACUCCUACGGGAGGCAGCAGUGGGGAAUAUUGCACAAUGGAGGGAACUCUGAUGCAGCGACGCCGCGUGAGCGAUGAAGGAAUUCGUUUCGUAAAGCUCUGUUCUAUGGGAAGAAAAGGACUGUACCAUAGGAGAAAGCCCCGGCUAAAUACGUG
rnacentral:rRNA from 1 species